CUACGUGAUGAUAGAACACAUUUAUAUUUCUGGUACCUCUUAUGUUAGAGUCUUCACGGACUCAAUGAAUGAACUGGACUUCUGACC
rnacentral:snoRNA from 1 species